rnacentral:lncRNA from 1 species
AUCAUCAUCAUCAUCUUCUUCAUCUUCAUCAUCUUCUUCAUCUUCAUCUUCUUCUUCUUCUUCUUCUUCUCCAUUAUAUACAUGUCUAUCUUCUUCUACAUAAUCAUCAUCCAUCUCUUCUUCAUAUUCUUCUCUUAUAUCCAAAUCAACUCCAUUACUUUCAUCAUUACUAUCAUCAUUGCUGUAAUCAUUGGCACUGUCAUAAGUAUUAUCAUCAGAGUCAUAUACAAUAUGAUCAUACGACAUAUUCGAAUCACUUGAUAAAAUAAUAUCUGAAUAUUCUGAACUAUCAUCACUUGUUGAAUCUGAUCUAAAUCGAACAUAUGAUGGAUUUAAAAAAGUUACACCUGACUUUCUUUUUUUUUUUUUUUUAGAUGUUUUUUUGUUUUUCAUUUUCUUAUUUUCUUUUUUUGCAUUCAUCUUAUUUAAUUUUAACAUAAAUAAUUUAUUCUUAUCUGUUUUAAUUGGAUUUCCUAAAAUCGGAGCUGAUGUCAAAAUAGAUAAACUUCGAAUAAUUGAAAAAGCAGUGCCUAUAAAAUCAGCUUUUGAAUAAUCCAGUUUGUUUAGAAGAUUACACAACGUAAGACGGAAUAGAGUUAGUUGCUCUUUAUUAUAUGAAAACACAUUUACACUCUCUUCUUUUUUAUCUACCUUUUCGUCUUCUUCGUUAUCGUUACCUCCGUUACCACCGUUACCACCGUUACCACCGUUACCACCAUUACCACCAUUACCACCAUUACCACCAUUACCACCGUUACCACCGUUACCACCGUUACCACCGUUGCCAUCAUUGCCACCAUUACCACCACCGUAUCCACUAUUACCACCACUACCGUUAUUACCACCANUACCACUAUUACCACCACUACCACUAUUACCACCACUACCGUUACCACUACCGCUAUUGCCACCACCGUUGUACUGGUUUCCAUCCCUACAACCGGUAUCAUAUGUACCCCUUUGAUCAUUAUCUUUUUUGCUUUGCUUACUUAACUUUUUAUUUGAAUGCGUCGCACCUCCUUUUUGUCCAUUUUUUACUGUUGGUUGAUACUGUUUUUUCAAUUUUUAUAUUCUGAUCUUCGUUCACUAAUUUCAGUAAUAAUAAACUCAUUGCGUGUGAAAAAACGUCUAUUACA